UACGGAGGGUGCGAGCGUUGUCCAGAAUCACUGGGCGUAAAGGGCGCGUAGGCGGCCUGAUAAGUAGGGGGUGAAAUCCUGCGGCUUAACCGCAGGGCUGCCUUCUAAACUGUCAGGCUGGAGCACAGUAGAGGCAGGUGGAAUUCCCGGUGUAGCGGUGGAAUGCGUAGAUAUCAGGAGGAACACCGGCGGUGUAGACGGCUCUCUGGACCGUAACUGACGCUGAGAUACGAAAGCGUGGGUAGCAAACAGG
rnacentral:rRNA from 1 species